UCUUCGUUUUUACUAUGAAUUGGUUGACAAACUUUUGCUCCUUUUCAGAAGCAAAGUUAUGAUUUCAGAUCUGUAGAUAACCUGUUGUUGCUGAUAUUGCUACACGGGAGGAGAACAGAACAAGUUGGAAAAUGUGCAAGAAGGAGCUAACUCAUACAACAAAGAACAAAUUGAUGAAGUUAAGAUCAAAUUAGUAGAAUUUGUGAGCUCUCCAUUAUUUAUAAUUAUAGGUAGGAAGUAUGUAUGUAAUAGAGCAAAGAUUGGUUGACUAUGUAAUAACAAUUGAAUUGUCAAGUUUUAUUAAAGAAAUAAUUUUUGCUUCUUGGGAUAGUAUUGUUAGGGUUCGGUGGCGAUUUAUUUUCCAUGUCUAAAUUGUAGUCUGUAAUGGAUGUGUGUGUAUUGUAUGUAGAUUGACUGAAUAUUGCUGUCCUAUUGACUGUGUAUUGUACUAAUAUUGCCUGUGUAUUGUAC